GACGAACGCUGGCGGCGUGCCUAACACAUGCAAGUCGAACGGGGUAAGUUCCUUCGGGGAUUUACUUAGUGGCGAACGGGUGAGUAACGCGUGAGAAACCUGCCUUUCAGUGGGGGACAACAGUUGGAAACGACUGCUAAUACCGCAUAAUGUUAUUUGGGGGCAUCCCCGAAUAACCAAAGCUUAAUGUGCUGAAAGAUGGUCUCGCGUCUGAUUAGCUAGAUGGCGGGGUAACGGCCCACCAUGGCGACAAUCAGUAGCCGGUCUGAGAAGAGGGACGGCCACAUUGGGACUGAGAUACGGCCCAGACUCCUACGGGAGGAAGCAGUGGGGAAUAUUGGGCAAUGGGGGAAACCCUGACCCAGCAACGCCGCGUGAGGGAAGAAGGCUUUCGGGUUGUAAACCUCUUUUAGCAGGGACGAAGAACGUGACGGUACCUGCAGAAAAAGCAACGGCUAACUACGUGCCAGCAGCCGCGGUAAAAC
rnacentral:rRNA from 1 species